GAUGAACGCUGGCGGCGUGCCUAAUACAUGCAAGUCGAGCGAACAGACUAGGAGCUUGCUCCUCUGACGUUAGCGGCGGACGGGUGAGUAACACGUGGAUAACCUACCUAUAAGACUGGGAUAACUUCGGGAAACCGGCGCUAAUACCUGAUAAUAUAUUGAACCGCAUGGUUCAAUAGUGAAAGACGGUUUUGCUGUCACUUAUAGAUGGAUCCGCGCCGCAUUAGCUAGUUGGUAAGGUAACGGCUUACCAAGGCAACGAUGCGUAGCCGACCUGAGAGGGUGAUAGGCCACACGGGAACUGAGACAAGGUCCAGACUCCUACGGGAGGCAGCAGUAGGGAAUCUUCAGCAAUGGGCGAAAGCCUGAAGGAGCAACGCCGCGUGAGUGAUGAAGGUCUUCGGAUCGUAAAACUCUGUUAUUAGGGAAGAACAAAUGUGUAAGUAACUAUGCACGUCUUGACGGUACCUAAUCAGAAAGCCACGGAUAACUACGUG
rnacentral:rRNA from 1 species